UACAGAGGUCCCAAGCGUUGUUCGGAUUCACUGGGCGUAAAGGGUGCGUAGGUGGUGAGGUAAGUUUGAUGUGAAAUCUCUGGGCUCAACCCAGAAAUGGCAUUGAAUACUAUCUUGCUAGAGGAGUGGGGGGGGGACUGGAAUACUUGGUGUAGCAGUGAAAUGCGUAGAUAUCAAGUGGAACACCAGUGGCGAAGGCGAGUCCCUGGACACUUCCUGACACUGAGGCACGAAAGCUAGGGGAGCAAACAGG
rnacentral:rRNA from 1 species